rnacentral:miRNA from 1 species
CAAUGUGACAUAGCUUUACCAUUCAUGUUCACUGAAAGGUAGAUUUUAGAAAACAUGAAUAGUAAAGCGAUGUCACAUUG